rnacentral:rRNA from 2 species
ACGGGUGAGUAAUGCCUAGGAAUCUGCCUGGUAGUGGGGGACAACGUCUCGAAAGGGACGCUAAUACCGCAUACGUCCUACGGGAGAAAGCAGGGGACCUUCGGGCCUUGCGCUAUCAGAUGAGCCUAGGUCGGAUUAGCUAGUUGGUGAGGUAAUGGCUCACCAAGGCGACGAUCCGUAACUGGUCUGAGAGGAUGAUCAGUCACACUGGAACUGAGACACGGUCCAGACUCCUACGGGAGGCAGCAGUGGGGAAUAUUGGACAAUGGGCGAAAGCCUGAUCCAGCCAUGCCGCGUGUGUGAAGAAGGUCUUCGGAUUGUAAAGCACUUUAAGUUGGGAGGAAGGGCAUUAACCUAAUACGUUAGUGUUUUGACGUUACCGACAGAAUAAGCACCGGCUAACUCUGUGCCAGCAGCCGCGGUAAUACAGAGGGUGCAAGCGUUAAUCGGAAUUACUGGGCGUAAAGCGCGCGUAGGUGGUUUGUUAAGUUGGAUGUGAAAGCCCCGGGCUCAACCUGGGAACUGCAUUCAAAACUGACAAGCUAGAGUAUGGUAGAGGGUGGUGGAAUUUCCUGUGUAGCGGUG